AUGGCUUCUCGGCCUUUUUGGCUAAGAUCAAGUGUAGUAUCUGUUCUUAUCAGUUUAAUAUCUGAUAUGUCACUCUAUAUGAGGACUACAUAUUAAACAGAUUUUGGCAUGAGGCAGAAUUUGGGCUUGCUCCUUUCUCCAUGCCUCGGCCUAGCAUUGCAGUACCGCUGAGACGGUGCACUCUGU